AUGGCCGAGAUGCAGACUCAGAGCACCGGGGCCGAGGACGGCUUCACCCAGAUCACCCGCAAGGGUGGCCGGCGAGCGAAGAAACGACAGGCUGAGCAGCUGACCGCAGCGGGGGAAGACGGAGACGUGGGUGACAUGCACGCGGAGGAAGCCCGGCCGUUGAAAAGGCCCGUCUUCCCUCCGCUGUCUGGAGACGUAUUUCUGAGUGGGAAAGAAGAAACACGGAAAAUUCCAGUCCCAGCUAAUAGAUACACACCACUAAAAGAAAACUGGAUGAAGAUAUUUACUCCUAUUGUAGAACAUCUGGGACUUCAGAUACAGUUCAACUUGAAAUCAAGGAAUGUAGAAAUCAGAACUUGUAAAGACACCAAGGAUGUUAGUGCUCUGACAAAAGCAGCUGAUUUUGUGAAGGCCUUUAUUCUUGGAUUUCAGGUAGAGGAUGCACUUGCCCUCAUCAGGCUUGAUGACCUCUUCCUGGAGUCUUUUGAAGUUACAGAUGUUAAGCCCCUGAAGGGAGACCAUCUAUCCAGAGCAAUAGGAAGAAUCGCUGGCAAGGGAGGAAAAACCAAGUUUACCAUAGAGAAUGUGACACGGACACGAAUAGUUUUGGCAGAUGUGAAAGUUCACAUCCUUGGCUCUUUCCAAAACAUUAAGAUGGCAAGAACUGCUAUUUGCAACCUCAUUCUGGGAAAUCCUCCAUCGAAGGUUUAUGGCACUAUUCGAGCUGUGACUAACAGAUCAGCAGAUCGGUUCUGAUUUUAAAUCAGAGAUUUUGUAUCUUAUCUUUGGACUUUAAAGAAAAAGACCUUAUACCCUGCAGGUGUUCACAGGAAACCUUGUGAAGAAUUUUUCAGUCACUUUAAGCCUGGGUGCCUUCCUUCAUUCUCAGCAGUAAAAACAGAAAGGAAGGGUUUAAUACUAUUCAUACCCAACAGUUUACAGGACAGUUUAAAUAGCAAGGUCUGUUAUACUUACACAUUAAGUAUAAUUUAUCAUAUUUUUCACUUUAAAUCACAUGUAGCAGCUUUGCAGUUUA